rnacentral:rRNA from 1 species
GAUGAACGCUGGCGGCGUGCCUAAUACAUGCAAGUCGAGCGAACAGACGAGGAGCUUGCUCCUCUGACGUUAGCGGCGGACGGGUGAGUAACACGUGGAUAACCUACCUAUAAGACUGGGAUAACUUCGGGAAACCGGAGCUAAUACCGGAUAAUAUAUUGAACCGCAUGGUUCAAUAGUGAAAGACGGUUUUGCUGUCACUUAUAGAUGGAUCCGCGCCUCAUUUGCUAGUUGGUAAGGUAACGGCUUACCGAGGCAACGAUGCGUAGCCGACCUGAGAGGGUGAUCGGCCACACUGGAACUGGGACACGGUCCAGACUCCUACGGGAGGCAGCAGUAGGGAAUCUUCCGCAAUGGGCGAAAGCUUGACGAAGCAACGCCGCGUGAGUGAUGAAGGUCUUCGGAUCGUAAAACUCUGUUAUUAGGGAAGAACAAAUGUGUAAGUAACUAUGCACGUCUUGACGGUACCUAAUCAGAAAGCCACGGCUAACUACGUG